GAUGAACGCUAGCGAUAGGCUUAACACAUGCAAGUCGAGGGGCAGCAUGGUCUUAGCUUGCUAAGACUGAUGGCGACCGGCGCACGGGUGCGUAACGCGUAUGCAACUUGCCUCACAGAGGGGGAUAACCCGUCGAAAGACGGACUAAUACCGCGUACACUCCAUCUUGGGCAUCCAAGGUAGAGGAAAUGAAAUUCGCUGUGAGAUAGGCAUGCGUCCCAUUAGCUAGUUGGUGAGGUAACGGCUCACCAAGGCGACGAUGGGUAGGGGAACUGAGAGGUUGAACCCCCACACUGGUACUGAGACACGGACCAGACUCCUACGGGAGGCAGCAGUGAGGAAUAUUGGUCAAUGGGCGAGAGCCUGAACCAGCCAAGUCGCGUGAAGGAUGACUGUCUUAUGGAUUGUAAACUUCUUUUAUACGGGAAUAACAAGAGUCACGUGUGACUCCCUGCAUGUACCGUAUGAAUAAGCAUUGGCUAACUCCGUG
rnacentral:rRNA from 1 species